rnacentral:misc_RNA from 1 species
AACGGUCUAUACCUGCGGUACCUGCGGAAGGAUCAUUACAGGACUCGCAAGACUCCUACAACCCUGUGAACUUAACUAUAAGCACGUUGCUUCGGCGGGUGUCUCGGCGAGGGUUCUCCCUCCCCGGGGCGCUAAGCCCGCCGGCAGCCUACUAUACUCUGUCUCUUUGCGUUGGCAUCUCGAGUACAAACAAACAAGUUAAAACUUUUAGCAAUGGAUCUCUAGAUCGGAAGAGCACAC